AACGAACGCUGGCGGCAUGCCUAACACAUGCCAGUCGAACGAGGCCUUCGGGUCUAGUGGCGCACGGGUGCGUACCGCGUGGGAACCUGCCCUUAGGUUCGGAAUAACUCCCCGAAAGGGGUGCUAAUACCGGUUAAUCUCUUCGCACCAAAGAUUUAUCGCCUUUGGAUGGGCCCGCGUUGGAUUAGCUAGUUGGUAGGGUAAAAGCCUACCAAGGCGACGAUCCAUAGCUGGUCUGAGAGGAUGAUCAGCCACACUGGGACUGAGACACGGCCCAGACUCCUACGGGAGGCAGCAGUGGGGAAUAUUGGACAAUGGGCGAAAGCCUGAUCCAGCAAUGCCGCGUGAGUGAUGAAGGCCUUAGGGUUGUAAAGCUCUUUUACCCGGGAUGAUAAUGACAGUACCGGGAGAAUAAGCUCCGGCUAACUCCGUG
rnacentral:rRNA from 1 species